CGCCCUUUGACACACAAAUAUAGAGGGUCCUGCCUGCCCAGUGACUAGAAGUUAAACGGCCGCGGUAUCUUGACCGUGCGAAGGUAGCAUAAUCAUUUGUCUCCUAAAUAGAGACUGGUAUGAAUGGCAAGACGGAACCUCACUGUCUCCUUUUCCCAAAUCUGAAUUUCACUCUCCCGUGAAGAGGCGAGAAUUUUAUCGUAAGACGAGAAGACCCUGUCGAGCUGCAGCAAAAUUUUGAAUGUUAUCCACCUCCUUUAUUCCUAAUAAGUGAUGUUACAAGAAAAACAAGGUAUAACACGUCAGAACAAGCUUUGAUUGGGGCAAUCACGGAGGAAGAAAACCCUCCGUUACUAAGGGAUAUAUAAUCUAAUCAUAAGAGCCUAUUACUCUAAACUCAUAAAAUGAAGAUAUGAUCCACUCACAGUGAUCAAAAGAAAAAGUUACCGCAGGGAUAACAGCGUUAUCUUUUCUGAGAGUUCAUAUUGACGAAAAGGUUUGCGACCUCGAUGUUGGAUCGGGACAUCCUAA
rnacentral:rRNA from 1 species